GAUGCAGCGACGCCGAAAAAGGAAUGACGCCCUUCGGGUUGAAACCUCUUUCACCAGGGGCGAAGCGAAGUGACGGUACCUGGAGAAGAAGCACCGGCCAACUACGUGCCAGCAGCCGCGGUAAUACGUAGGGUGCGAGCGUUGUCCGGAAUUACUGGGCGUAAAGAGCUCGUAGGCGGUUUGUCGCGUCGUUCGUGAAAACUUGGGGCUUAACUUCAGCGUGCGGGCGAUACGGGCAGACUUGAGUACUACAGGGGAGACUGGAAUUCCUGGUGUAGCGGUGAAAUGCGCAAAUAUCAGGAGGAACACCGGUGGCGAAGGCGGGUCUCUGGGUAGUAACUGACGCUGAGGAGCGAAAGCGUGGGUAGCGAACAGGAUUAGAUACCCUGUAGUCCACGCCGUAAACGGUGGG
rnacentral:rRNA from 1 species